GACACCUCAAUACACAAGAUGUCCGCCAGAAAAUUACGAGCGAAAAGCUUAAAACUCAAAGGACUUGGCGGUGCCCCACACCCGACUUAGAGGAGCCUGUCCUAUAAUCGAUACUCCACGCUAAACCUCACCAUUCAUUGCCCAAACAGCCUAUAUACCGCCGUCGCCAAUUUACCCUCUGAAGGUGAAACAGUAAGUACAACAGUCUAUUAACUAAAACGUCAGGUCAAGGUGUAGCUUAUAGAAUGGAAGAGAUGGGCUACAUUUUUUAUAACAAAACAUACGGCAUGGGACUGUGAAACCAGUUCUUAAAGGAGGAUUUAAUAGUAAAAUUAAUAAGAAAAUUAAUUU
rnacentral:rRNA from 1 species